rnacentral:rRNA from 1 species
AUUGAACGCUGGCGGCAGGCCUAACACAUGCAAGUCGAGCGGUAGCACAGGGAGCUUGCUCCUGGGUGACGAGCGGCGGACGGGUGAGUAAUGUCUGGGAAACUGCCUGAUGGAGGGGGAUAACUACUGGAAACGGUAGCUAAUACCGCAUAACGUCGCAAGACCAAAGAGGGGGACCUUCGGGCCUCUUGCCAUCAGAUGUGCCCAGAUGGGAUUAGCUAGUAGGUGGGGUAACGGCUCACCUAGGCGACGAUCCCUAGCUGGUCUGAGAGGAUGACCGGCCACACUGGAACUAAGACACGGUCCGGAGUCCUACGGGAGGCAGGAGUGGGGAAUAUUGGACAAUGGGCGCAAGCCUGAUGCAGCCAUGCCGCGUGUAUGAAGAAGGCCUUCGGGUUGUAAGGUACUUUCAGCGGGGAGGAAGGUGUUGAGGUUAAUAACCUCAGCAAUUGACGUUACCCGCAGAAGAAGCACCGGCUAACUCCGUGCCAGCCGCCGCGGUAAUAC